rnacentral:sRNA from 1 species
GGAAGGAUCAUUACAGAAUUGUCAACGGGUUGUUGCUGGUCCUCGAACGGGGACAUGUGCACGCUCUGUUUACACAUCCACUCACACCUGUGCACCCUCUGUAGUUCUGUGGUCUGGGGGACCCUGUCUUCCUGCCGUGGUUCUACGUCUUUACACACACACUGUAAUAAAGUCUUAUGGAAUGUAUGCCGCGUCUAACGCAAUACAAUACAACUUUCAGCAACGGAUCUCUUGGCUCUCGCAUCGAUGAAGAACGCAGCGAAAUGCGAUAAGUAAUGUGAAUUGCAGAAUUCAGUGAAUCAUCGAAUCUUUGAACGCACCUUGCGCCCCUUGGCUAUUCUGAGGGGCAUGCCUGUUUGAGUAUCAUGAACACCUCAACUCUCAUGGUUCGCCGUGAUGAGCUUGGACUCUGGGGGUUUUGCUGGCCUGCGGUCGGCUCCCCUCAAAUGAAUCAGCCUCCCAGUGUUUGGUGGCAUCACGGGUGUGAUAAAUAUCUACGCUCGCAGUUGUCCGCCAGGUAACCUUUGGUGACAAAGGUUCGCUGGAGCUCACAGAUGUCUCUCCUCAGCGAGGACAGCUUUUUGAACGUUCGAUCUCAAAUCAGGUAGGACUACCCGCUGAA